UGUCUUGAAUCACAGAGUUGCAGGACUGAGAUGAAAAGCCUAUUUGUUUGGCUUGAUAGCUAGCUAGCUAGGGUAUUUGGAUUUAAAUAAUGCAGCACUGGCUUUUUUUGUUUCAUUUGCUGAGAAUGACAACAACAACUACAUGCAGUGUCCGGGGAUAGCAGAGAAGGGACUGUUCCUAACCAGUCGAUGUGUGAUGGCUUUUCAACGGUUUUUCAGCAGCCGUGGCAUCACCCAAGUGGGUGCCACAUUUUCAACAAUGGAUGACCAGUACCUGUGGAGGAACCGCUCCUGUGGAGUAACUGAAUGUCGGAGAAGCAGGUGUGGUGCACUGACAAAGAGCUCAGGGCCUGUUUUGUCAGACUGUCUUUGUUUCUCUCUGGCUGUACCAUCGAUGCCCCUUCCACUCAAGCUAUACUGCCUUUCCAGCCACUGCCUCAACUCCAUUUCCAUCACCCGAAACCGACUGCUAGAAAGACUUUUCAAUCUUCAUCGCCAUCAAAGAGGACCACUUUUCUUUUAGGGACCACAAUGGAAAUAAGUCUCUAACUUGUUUGAGAUGUCCCUGUCACGUUUUUAAAAUCAAAAACCAAAGUCUGCAUGAAGGUAACAGCGCUCACUGUUGCCCCCAGUGGCCAGUUUCAACAUCAUCUCCCGAUGUCCUCUGAAAUGGAUGGAUGUCGAAUACUGAUUUGUAUCAUACGUAACCUGCUUGCUGUCACACACUGUGCUAUUCUCCUUCUCUGAUCUCUCCCCCUCUCCAGCCAUCUGUGCUAAAAACCAAUUAACCAUCACCAUCAUUAUACAUUAUGAGCACCACUAAUCUUCUGGCAACGUGCCUAAUAAACCAUACAGAAUUACAUAGCAAAGUUACAGUCAGUUUGAUUUCAAUUUCUGGUAAAAUGAACAUGGAAUUUGCUCAUAAUAUUUCUCUAGUUAUUCUCUGCAGCUCCACAGGCUACAGCAGGCUAUACCCAGGCUGUCUUUGCAUAUCUUAGGCUUAGUCUAAAGAUCCACCAUUCUAAAACAAGCUCCUUCGGAAACCACAACAAGCACUGUAGAGUAUAAUUAUAGGAGUGCUCAGCUCCCAUGGACCCUAUGGCUCAGCUGGGCGCACAUGCUCCGUUAUUGCAAGAUAAGCAUAACAGGAAAUCAAGUGUUGAUGGGGGGAGAAUGAUCUCCAGAUGUUCAUUUGGGCAUCAAACCCAGUCAUAUAUCAUCAAUCAUCUCUCUCCCUGAUGGCUCGUAUAUUUUCGUUUUUCAAACAAAUUCACCCGAGAACCAGAGAGACGUCCUGAUCGAACUGGGCAUAUGCGUGUUUACCCCGCUGCUUACUUUGACCAAGAUGGAAGUUGUUUUGCUGUACUCAAAAGGUUUUUAGGCUAAAGACAUUUUAGGAAAUAAACAUACAGUAUUGAAAUUCUAAAGACGUUUAGGCUUACUACAUUAACUAUCGUAUAUGUACACCAGGAGUAUUCAACAGGGGGUCCGUGGCCCUGAGGUACUGCAGGGGGUCUGUGAAAAUAUAAAAAAAUAUUAUUUCAAUGUUUUUAUGAAUAUCACGAGCAACAAAAUAAUAAAAUGUUUUUUAAUUACAUACAGUACAAGUCAAACGUUUUGACACAUCUACUCAUUCAAGGGUUUUCCUUUAUUUUUUACUAACCCUAACCCGGACGACGAUGGGCCAAUUGUGCGCCGCCCUAUGGGACUCCCAAUCACAGCCGGAUGUGAUACAGCCCGGGAUCGAAUCAGGGUCUGUAGUGAAGCAUCUAGCACUGAGAACUGAAAUGCAGUGCCUUAGACUGCUGCGCCACUCUGGAGCCUUUUAAAAAGUUUAUUUGUGGAAUUUCUUUCCUUCUUAAUGUGUUUUGGCCAAUCAGUUGUGUUGUGACAAGGUAGGGUUGCUAUACAGAAGAUAGCCCAAUUUGGUAGAAGACCAAGUCCAUAUUAUGGCAAGAACAGCUCAAAUAAGCAAAGAGAAACAACAGUCCAGCAUUGCUUUAAGACAUGAUGGUCAGUCAAUAAAGAACAUUUCAAGAACUUUGAAUGUUUCUUCAAGUGCAGUCGCAAAACCAUCAAGCGCUAUGAUGAAACUGGCUCUCAUGAGGACCGCCACAGGAACGGAAGACCCAGACUGCAGAGGACAAGUUCAUUAGAGUUACCAGCCUCAGAAUUGCAGCCCAAAUAAAUGCUUCACAGAGUUCAAGUAACAGACACAUCUCAACAUCAACUGUUCAGAGGAGACUGCGUGAAUCAGGCCUUCAUGGUCGAAGAAGAAGAAACCACUACUAAAGGACACCAAUAAGAAGAAGAGACUUGCUUGGGCCAAGAAACACGAGCAAUGGACAUUAGACCAAUGGAAAUAUGUCCUCUGGUCUGAUGAGUCCAAAUUUGAGAUUUACUGUUCCAACCACCGUGUCUUUGUGAGACGCAGAGUAGGUGAACGGAUGAUCUCCGCAUGUAUGGUUCCGACGUGAAGCAUGGAGGAGGAGGUGUGAUGGUUUGGGGGUGCUUUGCUGGUGACACUGUCAGUGAUUUAUUUACAAUUCAAGGCACACUUAACCAGCAUGGCUACCACAGCAUUCUGCAGCAAUACGCCAUCCCAUCUGGUUUGCGCUUAGUGGGACUAUCAUUUGUUUUCAACAGGACAAUAACCCAACACACCUCCAGGCUCUGUUAGGGCUAUUUGACCAAGAAGGAGAGUGAUGGAGUGCUGCAUCAGAUGACCUGGCCUCCACAAUCCCCCAACCUCAAUCCAAAUGAGAUGGUUUGGGAUGAGUUGGACCGCAGAGUGACGGAAAAGCAGCCAACAAGUGCUCAGCAUAUGUGGGAACUCCUUCAAGACUGUUGGAAAAGGAUUCCAGGUGAAGCUGGUCAUCAAGGCAAAGGG
rnacentral:lncRNA from 1 species